CAUCAUCAAAUUGUUGUGGACAGAUAUAGUGUACAUGUGUAUCAAUCCCACCAGCUGUAACAAUUAAUUUUUCACCAGCAAUCACAUCAGUUGUGGCACCAACAAUCAUACAUUCUGGUGUUAUACCAUCCAUCAUAUCCGGAUUACCUGCUUUACCAAUACCAACAAUUUUAUUACCUUUUAUACCAAUAUCAGCUUUAAUUAUACCAGUUAUUGAAUCAAUAAUUAAUGCAUUUGUUAUAACAACAUCUAAUGCUCUAUCCGAUUGUACACUGGUUGACUUAGAUUGAUUUUUUGAUGUG
rnacentral:sRNA from 1 species